rnacentral:rRNA from 1 species
UACGAAGGGGGCUAGCGUUGCUCGGAAUCACUGGGCGUAAAGGGUGCGUAGGCGGGUCUUUAAGUCAGGGGUGAAAUCCUGGAGCUCAACUCCAGAACUGCCUUUGAUACUGAAGAUCUUGAGUUCGGGAGAGGUGAGUGGAACUGCGAGUGUAGAGGUGAAAUUCGUAGAUAUUCGCAAGAACACCAGUGGCGAAGGCGGGUCUCUGGGCCGAUACUGACGCUGAGGAGCGAAAGCGUGGGGAGCAAACAGG